UGGCGACCGGCGCACGGGUGAGUAACACGUAUCCAACCUGCCGAUGACUCGGGGAUAGCCUUUCGAAAGAAAGAUUAAUACCCGAUGGCAUAGUUCUUCCGCAUGGUAGAACUAUUAAAGAAUUUCGGUCAUCGAUGGGGAUGCGUUCCAUUAGCUUGUUGGCGGGGUAACGGCCCACCAAGGCAUCGAUGGAUAGGGGUUCUGAGAGGAAGGUCCCCCCACAUUGGAACUGAGACACGGUCCAAACUCCUACGGGAGGCAGCAG
rnacentral:rRNA from 1 species